ensembl:lncRNA
GGCCAGGCAGAUUCUACACCAUCAUUUGUGAUCCUCUCAACAUUCCCUCUGCCCAGGGCAGCAUUUCCUUCUUGCAGCCAUGAGGAGCCUCUUCCUUUAGGCUUAAAAAUGCCCCAAUUGGUUGCAGGUUCAGAUCUCCCCUUGGCUUAUCUGACUGAGCUGGAGGUGGAGGGUCUGGUGGCAGCUCCCCCCCUUGCCAAGAACCUGUGUGAGAUCAAGGAAGCUUUGGUGAAUCUGCAUCAACCCUCAGCCCUUGGCAAUUCAGACAGCAAACACCAAGCCAGCCUGGGGAGCUCAGGCUUCUUCUGAUGGAUGCCUGGGAUGGAGCCUUGCAGCUGGAAUAAAGAGGAGCUGCACUCUCAGAGCAGGGACAGGAGCAGGAGGAUUUCAUGUUCUGCACAGUAAAACAGCCACCAACUCAUUCCUGGAGGAGCUGAGCUUAUCCUGGGCCGUGGAUGAGGUUGGGCUGGGGAGGGAGGGGGUGUCUGGGACAGAGCAGCUUUACCUGAGUAUCAGAACAGACACAAAUUUAAUUAAGGAUGUGUUUGGUCAAAUAUGUGAUGAUGAAUCCAUAUUCUUUUUGCUUAACCUUGACAUAUUUUCAUAUUUGCUGUGGAUUAUCAGUAAUUUGUAGGCUGGAGAAGGAGGGUGAAGUUCUUGAUGUCGCUGAUUUUGUGUUUUUUGUUGUUAAGCCAAUAAAAAAAUAAACAGAAGAGCA